rnacentral:rRNA from 1 species
UGAUGACGAGACGCUAAGGCGUUGAAGCAGUGUAUGUCAGACUUCCAAGAAAAGCUCGCAAUGUCACAAAUAAGAAAUGCCUGUACCAUAACCGACACAGGUGGGUAGGUAGAGUAUACUAAGGGGCGCGAGAUAACUCUCUCUAAGGAACUCGGCAAAAUGACUCCGUAACUUCGGGAGAAGGAGUGCCUUAUUUAUAAGGUUGCAAUAACAAGAUCCAAGCAACUGUUUAUCAAAAACACAGGUCUCCGCUAAGUCGUAAGACGAUGUAUGGGGGCUGACGCCUGCCCAGUGCCAGAAGGUUAAAGAAGUUGGUUAGUGUAUGCGAAGCUGAUGACUGAAGCCCUGGUGAACGGCGGCCGUAACGAUAACGGUCCUAAGGUAGCGAAAUUCCUUGUCGGGUAAGUUCCGACCCGCACGAAAGGCGUAAUGAUUUGGAUACUGUCUCGGAGAGAGGCUCGGUGAAAUAGACUUGUCUGUGAAGAUGCGGACUACCUACACCAGGACAGAAAGACCCUAUGAAGCUUUACUGUAACUUGAAGUUGGAAUUGGACUUUGCUUGCGCAGUAUAGGUGGGAAGCGUUGAAAAUAUUCUUGCGGGAGUAUUGGAGCUAUCAGUGAGAUACCACUCUUGUAAUGUUAGAUUUCUAACUUUGAACCAUAAUCUGGUCAAAGAACAGUUUCAGGUGGGCAGUUUGACUGGGGCGGUCGCCUCCCAAAUGGUAACGGAGGCGUACAAAGGUUUCCUCUGAACGGAUAGAAAUCGUAUCUAGAGUGUAAAGGCAUAAGGAAGCUUGACUGUGAGACCUACAAGUCGAGCAGGGACGAAAGUCGGUCUUAGUGAUCUGACGGUACUGAGUGGAAAGGCCGUCACUCAACGGAUAAAAGUUACUCUAGGAUAACAGGCUGAUCUCCCCCAAGAGUUCACAUCGACGGGGAGGUUUGGCACCUCGAUGUCGGCUCAUCGCAUCCUGGGGCGGUAGUACGCCCCAAGGGUUGGGCUGUUCGCCCAUGAAAGCGGUACGCGAGCUGGGUUCAGAACGUCGUGAGACAGUUCGGUCCAUAUCCGGUGUAGGCGCUAGAAUAUUGAGAGGAGCCUUCUUUAGUACGAGAGGACCGAGAAGGACACACCGCUGGUGUACCAGUUAUCGUGCCAACGGUAAACGCUGGGUAGCUAUGUGUGGAGUGGAUAACCGCUGAAAGCAUCUAAGUGGGAAGCCCACCUCGAGAUGAG